rnacentral:rRNA from 1 species
GACGAACGCUGGCGGCGUGCCUAAUACAUGCAAGUUGAGCGCUGAAGGAUGGUGCUUUUGCCAACUGGAUGAGCAGCGAACGGGUGAGUAACGCGUGGGUAAUCUGCCUUUGUUCGGGGGACAACAUUUGGAAACGAAUGCUACUACCGCAUAAAAACUUUAACCACAAGAUUUAAGUUUUCAAGAUGCAAUUGCAUCACUCAAAGAUGAUCCCGCGUUGUAUUAGGUAGUUGGGGAGGUAAAGGCUCACCAAGGCGAUGAUACAUAGCCGACCUGAGAGGGUGAUCGGCCACAGUUGGACUGAGACACGGCCCAAACUCCUACGGGGGGCAGCAGUAGGGAAUCUUCGGCAAUGGACGAAAGUCUGAACGAGCAACGCCGCGUGAGUGAAGAAGGUUUUCGGAUCGUAAAACUCUGUUGGUAGAGAAGAACGUUGGUGAGGGUAGAAAGCUCAUCAAGUGACGGUAACUACCCAGAAAGGGACGGCUAACUACGUG